GAUGAACGCUGGCGGCGUGCCUAACACAUGCAAGUCGAACGGACAGGCCAUGAUUUUGCGGGUCUUACGUUAGCGGCGGGGGGGUGAAUAACACGUGUAUCACCCCCUUAUAUUAGGGUGAUAUCUGGGAAAAAGGGGAGCUAAUGCCUGAGAAUAUCUUGAGCCUCGUGGUGGAUGGGAAAAUUCGGCGGUUGGGGUUGGUCGUGGGGGUUACCAGCUUGUUUGUGAGGUUGGGGCUUACCAAGGCUUUGACGGGUAGCCGGCCUGAGCGGGUGACCGGGCACAUGGGGACUGAGAGACGGACCAGUCGCGUACGGGAGGCAGCAGUGGGGAGUAUUGCGCAAUGGGCGGAAGCCUGAGGCAACGACGCCGCGUGCGUGAUGACGGCCUUCGGGUUAUAAACCGCUGUCGACUGUGACAAAGCGGGAGUGACGGUAAUGGGUAAAGAAGCACCGGCUAACUACGUG
rnacentral:rRNA from 1 species